ensembl:rRNA 5S_rRNA 5S ribosomal RNA
GUCUAUGGCCAUACCACCCUGAACGCGCCCGAUCUUGUCUGAUCUCAGACGCUAAGCAGGGUCGGGCCUGGUUAGUACUUGGAUGGGAGAAAUACCCAAGCAAUAAUUUUAUUUACCUCAUGGAAAGUGGAAUGGACC